rnacentral:pre_miRNA from 1 species
UAGGUGACACUUUUAUAGUGUCACCUAAAUAUUUAGGUGACACUUUAAUAGUGUCACCUAAAUAUUUAGGUGACACUUUAAUAGUGUCACCUA